rnacentral:lncRNA from 1 species
GUUCAGCAUGUGUUGCAUGUCUUUCAGAAUCACGUAAGUAAAACCCCUUUUUGAAACUUGCAAGUGAGAAAAGAUUCUGUCUCUCUGGCAGAAGACAUGUUUCCUGUACUCAUCAUAUGCUCCUGCCCCUGCCCUGCCGGCCCUUCCUCGGCCCCAGGCUUAAAAUUAGGAAGCAUCAAUCAGCAUGGUCACAAGUGCAAUAAUUUCAUAAAUAGCCUCCAAUUUCAAUUAUAUUUUUACGUGAAUACAUUAAAGUGUAUACAGAAGGAUUCAUGAUGCAAGAGCCUAGUGUGUACAUGUGAAAAGUGUUUCUAUAUAAAGAAAACUGUCAACCAGGGGAAAAAGAGGUCAUGUAAAAUGCAGAUUCUUCUAAUAGCCCUGCAAGACAACUGCAAACACACCAAACAGAGUAAAGCAAAGAGAAAACUAUUUGAGUAAAUAGUUUUUUAAGGUAAUUUUUAUUGAAAAGCAUUUGUAUAUUUCAGGAGCAGAAAUGUCGAAUGGCCACGUGUCUGUGUGCACGUCUGUGUUUUACAACGGAGACUGAGGUCAUGCUAUAGCUGCAGAUAGCCUAGGCUUGGUCUAGCCAUGUAGAGUAUUUAACCCAUAAGCAAAGUACAGUGUUCUGCGUUUCACAAAGUUAUUAUAUUUUGUGUAUUUGUUGCACAUAUGAACAUAAACACAAAGAGGCUUUAUGUCUUCUGCUGAAUGCUUUUAAGUCAGUGGUGCCUUUAGGCAAGAACCAUCGAAAUUAAUCAUUCUUUUGGGUUUUCUGAUAUUUUUUCAGGUACCGUAAAACUGCAAAGAAACUAUCACAGCUUACUCUCCUAAAGUCCGAUUGUCUGACUUAAAUGUAGCACUUAGAUGAGUAUUUCCUGUAAUUCCAGUGUUCCACGUAGUUGCUGGAACAGUUGUGCCAUUGACCAGUGGAUGCACUUUGUUAGCCUUAAUUUAAAACAAAAAAAAUUUUCUUGAAUAUAUCAGUUUGAUCACUAUAAGUUUGCUGCAGGUGUUUUGGGGAAAAAACAGUUAAGUGCAAUGAAAGUGUACCAUUUUUAAAAAAAUAAAUUAAGAACAACAUAAAUUUCACAAUCUGCAGUUUUAAUUUUGUGCAAUAUUUUCAUUUAAUGCAUGUUUAUUUGAGUAACUGUAAAAUAACUACAUUUUUAAUGUUUGAGAUCUAAUUUAACUGUCUUCUUAGCCCAACAACUUCAUUCCGUUGUUGCCGCACCUUAAUUAAGGACUUGUUUAAAAGUCUUUUUGUCACUCCUUGUAAAAUUCUUUUCUUAGUAGAAAGUUUCGCUUAUGGGAGCCUGGCUCCUGUAUUAUAAGGGAAAACUAAAGAGCACAUUUUAGGAUUUUAAUUGUUAAAAAAUUACCUUGUGCAUAUCAUUGUACAUAAGUGUCAAUUGUGCCUAACCGCUCUAUCAAUGCUCUCCUUCUUUAACCAAGGGGAAAGAAUCAGAAUGUCAGUUAUUUUUAUUAACUACAGAAUUAAAAUUUUUAUUUGGUUUGUGUUAUGUUCUGUCUGUUAGAAAAUACUAAUAAAGUAUUAACAAACAA